GAUGAACGCUGGCGGCGUGCCUAAUACAUGCAAGUCGAGCGAACAGACGAGGAGCUUGCUCCUCUGACGUUAGCGGCGGACGGGUGAGUAACACGUGGAUAACCUACCUAUAAGACUGGGAUAACUUCGGGAAACCGGAGCUAAUACCGGAUAAUAUAUUGAACCGCAUGGUUCAAUAGUGAAAGACGGUUUUGCUGUCACUUAUAGAUGGAUCCGCGCCGCAUUAGCUAGUUGGUAAGGUAACGGCUUACCAAGGCAACGAUGCGUAGCCGACCUGAGAGGGGGGACGGGCAACAUGGAACUGAGAACCGGUCGAGGACCCGACGGGGGGGAAAAGGGGGGAAACUUACGAAUGUGUGGAAAUCCUAACGAGGGAAUCCAGGGGAAGUAAAGAAGGGCUUGGAACUGUAAAACUCUGUUUAGAGGGAAAAACAAAUGUGUAAGUAACUUACCCCGGCGUAACGGUACUAAAACCAAAAGCCACGGCUAACUAACG
rnacentral:rRNA from 1 species